rnacentral:lncRNA from 1 species
CUCAUGGCAGUUAGGAAGCAGAGGGAGAGAGGAGCCAGGGAUGAGAUACAUAAUCCUGGGGCACAUCUCCAGUGACCUGCUGGCUCCAGUCACACCCCACCUUCCUUCGGUGGCUGCCCAAUAAUUCAUUUGGAUUAUCAAUCCAUCCAAUGGAUUAGUCCACUAAUUAGGUUACAGCUCACGUAGUCUAAUCACUUAACCUGUGAACAUUCCUGCAUUAUCUCACACAUAAGCUUUUGGGAACGCCUCAUUUCCAACCAUAACAGCUUUAAACCUUUGGGUUUCCUGGCUCUAGGGUUCUUAGCCCCAUUGUCCCUGAUGUGCAGACCUGGAGAGAUGUUCAAAGGAAAGCCAACCUCCUCUUCCAGCCCGGUGCUCCUGAGACCACGCUGAUUAUCAGGGAUGGAGAUGGCUUUCGGCUUGACAGAGCUCUACUCAGAGUUGGGGCACAUGCUUAGUGUUCCCUUUUAUUGAGGACCCUUGUGGUUCUCAUGCUUUUUGUUUGUUUGUUUUGUUUAUGUCUUUCUUUGUUUAGAAUCAUCCCUCUGUGGGUUUUUCUGUCCUUUAGAACUUUC